AGCGAUUUGGUGUAAUGGUUUUGCACGGGAGCUUCAUGAACUCUUAGUUUUUGUUCGAUUCAAAAUUUCGCUA
rnacentral:tRNA from 1 species